rnacentral:rRNA from 1 species
CAUCUUUUAUAGGAUGUUACUUUUCAGUGAAUACAUAGCUGAUUAGAGGUAGACGCAGAGAACUGAAACAUCUAAGUACCUGCAGGAAGAGAAAGAAAAAUCGAUUCCCUGAGUAGCGGCGAGCGAAACGGGAAAAGCCCAAACCAAGAGGCUUGCCUCUUGGGGUUGUAGGACUCCGAUAUGGUAGUCCAGUGAGAUAGUCGAAGGACCUGGAAAGGUCUGCUAGAAAGGGUAAAAGCCCCGUAGACAAAAUUUGACUGGCACCUAGGAGGAUCCUGAGUACGGCGGAACACGAGGAAUUCCGUCGGAAUCCGGGAGGACCAUCUCCCAAGGCUAAAUACUCCCUAGUGACCGAUAGUGAACCAGUACCGUGAGGGAAAGGUGAAAAGCACCCCGGAAGGGGAGUGAAAUAGAUCCUGAAACCGUGUGCCUACAACAAGUUAGAGCCCGUUAAUGGGUGAUAGCGUGCCUUUUGUAGAAUGAACCGGCGAGUUACGAUUACUUGCGAGGUUAAGUUGAAAAGACGGAGCCGCAGCGAAAGCGAGUCUGAAUAGGGCGAAUGAGUAAGUGGUCGUAGACCCGAAACCAUGUGAUCUACCCAUGUCCAGGUUGAAGGUGCGGUAAAACGCACUGGAGGACCGAACCCACGUACGUUGAAAAGUGCGGGGAUGAGGUGUGGGUAGCGGAGAAAUUCCAAACGAACUUGGAGAUAGCUGGUUCUCUCCGAAAUAGCUUUAGGGCUAGCCUCAGAGUAAGAAUGAUGGAGGUAGAGCACUGUUUGGACUAGGGGCCCAUCUCGGGUUACCGAAUUCAGAUAAACUCCGAAUGCCAUCCAUUCAUCUCUGGGAGUCAGACUGUGAGUGAUAAGAUCCAUAGUCGAAAGGGAAACAGCCCAGACCACCAGCUAAGGUCCCCAAAUAACUAUUAAGUGGAAAAGGAUGUGGGGUUGCACAGACAACUAGGAUGUUGGCUUAGAAGCAGCCACCAUUUAAAGAGUGCGUAAUAGCUCACUAGUCGAGUGACCCUGCGCCGAAAAUGUACCGGGGCUAAAUAGUUUACCGAAGCUGUGGAA